CUGCAGCCAAUUAAGCUGACUAUGUUCUCUUCCUUAUGGAGGCCUGAUGUGCAAGGGCUGCAAGCAAUAGCCUCCUUGGUAGUGUUUCCAGCCUGUUCCUUGUAUGAGUUGCUUUAAGGGACCAUGGAGAUAGUC